rnacentral:rRNA from 1 species
GACGAACGCUGGCGGCGUGCCUAAUACAUGCCAGUCGAACGAGAGCGACCGGUGCUUGCACUGGUCAAUCUAGUGGCGAACGGGUGAGUAACACGUGGGUAACCUGCCCAUCAGAGGGGGAUAACAUUCGGAAACGGAUGCUAAAACCGCAUAGGUCUUCGAACCGCAUGGUUUGAAGAGGAAAAGAGGCGCAAGCUUCUGCUGAUGGAUGGACCCGCGGUGCAUUAGCUAGUUGGUGAGGUAACGGCUCACCAAGGCCGUGAUGCAUAGCCGACCUGAGAGGGUGAUCGGCCACAUUGGGACUGAGACACGGCCCAAACUCCUACGGGAGGCAGCAGUAGGGAAUCUUCCGCAAUGGACGCAAGUCUGACGGAGCAACGCCGCGUGAGUGAAGAAGGUUUUCGGAUCGUAAAACUCUGUUGUUAGAGAAGAACAAGUGCUAGAGUAACUGUUAGCGCCUUGACGGUAUCUAACCAGAAAGCCACGGCUAACUACGUG